rnacentral:lncRNA from 1 species
GGAGCGAAACGCGGAAGAAAGUGAGAGAUUACAAGCUACAGGGGUUAAUUGUGUCAACAUGUUUAAUUUAUACCUCUGAGUGACCCUUUGACGAACCCGAGGCUUUGUAACAGUAAUAUACGCUCACUAGAAUAUACGAUAUAAAUUUCGCGAAGUUUCGUUUUAAAACGAGAAAGUUAUGAUCAAAUUCGUAUGCUAGGGGUUAAAAGCGUCAACAAUAAAAGUUAAGGCUUUUCGGAUAGUAAUUAAACUAACCGGGGACUUAACAAUGCGGGUAAAAGGCACGAGGCCCUUAGUGGUAAAUAAUCGAGGGCCAAAUCGCAAAGUUACCCCUUCGAAACCGAAAGGUCAGGUUAAUCAUUACAAAAGAUUUGAAAAUCUUGGAAAUCAGGUCUAAUGCGGGCCGCGUUAAGGUUACGGGUGAUUUAAUGCGGGCCGCGAGCCAGCUGCUGAUUCGUUUUCUGACAUUAGGAUUCAUGCGGCCCGCGUCCAAGUGGCCUGAAUCCUAAUGCGGGCCGCGUACCAGUCCCAGAUGCAGAAACUUUGGACAGAUUCAAUGUUUAAGCUAGUGAACGAUCUUGUGAGCAUUAAUUGAAGCAUUGGCGCCCUCUACAUGUCCCCUAGCACCUUAGGACACCUGCUGAUCAUCCAUGAGCAAUCCUAGAGUGAGUUGUAAUGAUCU